UUUUUCUUUUGAAGGGUGUAUAUAUUUUAAAGUAAAUUUUAUGGUGUAUAUUUAAUGUAUACAACUUGAUGUCAUAAGAUACUCACAUUUUUUGAAACGGCCGUGCACUUCCGGGCUGCCAGCGUGGAGGGCGGCGGCGACGAAGCACAGACAGCAUCAUGGCCGAGCAGGUGGCCCUGAGCCGGACCCAGAUGUGCGGGAUCCUGCAGGAGGAGCUGUUCUGGGGCAAUGCCUUCCGUCAGUCGGAUACACACAUAGUCAUCAUGAUGGGUGCAUCAGUGAGCUGGCCAAGAGGAAGAUGUACCCCACCAUCUGGUGGCUGUUCCGGGAUGGCCUUCUGACGGAAAACACCUUCAUCGUGGGCUACGCCGGCUCCCGCCUCACGGUGGCUGACAUCCUCAAGCAAAGUGAGCCCUUCUUCAAGGCCACCGCAGAGGAGGAGCUCAAGCUGGAGAACUUCUUUGCCUGCAACUCCUAUGUGGCCGGCCGGUACGAUUACCAGCACCUCAACAGCCACAUGAACGCCCUCCACCGGGGGUCACAGGCCAACCGCCUCUUCUACCUGGCCUUGCCUUCCACGGUCUGUGAGGCCGUCACCAAGAACAUCCACGAGUCCUGCAUGAGCCAGGCAGCCUGGAACCACAUCAUCGUGGAGAAGCCCUUCGGGAGGGACCUGCGGAGCUCCGAGCGGCUGUCCAACCACAUCUCCCUGUUCCGCGAGGACCAGAUCUACCGCAUUGAGCACUACCUGGGCAAGGAGAUGAUGCAGAACCUCAUGGUGCUGAGAUUUGCCAACAGAAUCUUCCAUUCCACCUGGAACUGGGACCACAUCGCCUGCGUGAUCCUCACCUUCAAGGAGCCCCAUGGCACCGAGGGUCACGGGGGCUGUUUUGAUGAAUUUGGGAUCAUCCGGGACGUGAUGCAGAGCCACCUCCUGCAGAUACUGUCUGGUGGCCAUGGAGAAGCCUGCCUCCACCAACUCGGAUGAUGUCCGUGAUGAGAAGGUCAAGGUGUUGAAAUGCAUCUCAGGGGUGCAGGCCAACAACGUGGUCCUGGGCCAGUAAGUGGGGAACCCCGAGGGAGAGGGCGAGGCCACCAAAAGAUACAAGGAUGACCCCAUGGUGCCUCACGGGUCCACCACCGCCACCUUUGCCGCCGUCGUCCUCUACAUGGAGAACUAGAGGUGGGUUGGGGUGUCCUUCAUCCUGCGCUGUGGCAAGGCCUUGAACGAGCGCAAGGCCGAGGUGAGGCUGCAGUUCCACGAUGUGGCCGGCGACAUCUUCCGCCAGCAGUGCAGGUGCAAUGAGCUGGUGAUCCGCCUGCAGCCCCACGAGGCCGUGUACAUCAAGAUGAUAACCAAGAAGCCGGACAUGUUCUUCAACCCCGAGGAGGCAGAGCUGGACCUGACCUACGGCAACAGAUACAAGAACGUGAAGCUCCCUGGCACCUACGAGCGCCUCCUCCUGGACGUCUUCUGUGGGAGCCAGAUGUACUUCCUGCGCAGCGACGAGCUCCGGGAGGCCUGGCGGAUCUUCACCCCGCUGCUGCACCGGAUGGAGCAGCAGAAGCCGCAGCCCAUCCCCUACGUCUAUGGCAGCCGAGGUCCCGCAGAGGCAGACGAGCUGAUGAAGAGAGUGGGUUUCCAGCACGAGGAUACCUAUAAGUGGGUGAACCCCCACAAGCUCUGAACCCUGGGCGCCCCCCUCCACUCCCACCAUAAGCCAUCCUCCUUCCUGACCGCCCUACCCCCACUGGGGAGGACUCUGGGACCACUGGCCUCAGCUGCAUUCAAUCCUGGCCUUGGGCUUGGGUCACACUGGCCUGCCCCUCAUUGCUGCCACUACCCGACCCCCCUCAGCUGCCAAACACUCAAGACUCGUGCUGUCACCAUCCUGGGCACCAUAAACCUUGCCUGAGCCGGCCUCCUCCCUCCAGCCCAACAGAAGGAAGAAGGGGGGCACCCAUUCCUCUGUCCAGUAAUGGGCCCCCUCCCCCUCAUCCCUCAGGAGAGUGGGGCCUGGGCCGGAGGGAGUGAUGGGAGGAGGAAAGGGGUGAGCGCCCAUGUGAGACAACCUGCUUGUGGCCUUACUGGCCAGCUUCAGUGCCACUUGACAUUCCUCGUCAUCAGCAACAUCUCGAGCCCCCUGGAUGUCUCCUGUCCCACAAACUCUGCUCUCCAUACUACUGGUAGGCGGCCUCCCUAUUGCAAGAAAAGCAGAAGCAGCAGCUGGGACCCCUCCCAACCUCAAUCCCCUGCCAUUAAAUCCGCAAACAGCCAA